CUCAUUCCUACAGAGACUAUUCCAUCAGAGGUAGUUUCCCUCUGUUGGAUGUGCUUUUCAAACUUAAAAUGUUUUCUACUUUGUAUCUUCUCAAGAACUCUUCACUAUGGCUCCUAGGAUGACUCUAGAGCAGAAGGGGACUCUUUGGCUGGACGUGACUGGACACCUGGGAGAGGCAGCAGUGUGCCCAGUUCAGCUCUCUGCAACCAGGAAAUCCUGUGGCUUCUGAAGAAUGGUUAAGUGCAGGGCAUGGAGUCACGAAGAAUGUGAGGACCUGCAGGACUCACUGUGGGGACCUACAGGACACAGAGAGGGAGGAGAGAAAAUGGUGACCAUGAGAAGACAUUGGAACUGGAAGGCUUCUAAAGAGGGCCCUGGCCAUGCAACAUGUGCAGCACACAGCAAGGGAGGUACAUGUGUGACAAAAGACCAUCCUGUCCUUGUGUCCAGGGAUCAGGGGAGCAGACUACAGAGGGAGGGCCCACAAGUCAGCCAAAUCCUCGACCAAGUAUGAACUUUGGGAGCAUCAGCACACAGAAUGGUGUGGGAAGAGACCUUUGCUAUGUGUUUUUUUUUUUUUUUUUUUUUUUAAGCGAGCUACAGUACUAUGGCAAGUUUUGCUGAUUAAAUCUGUUGACAUAAUUUUGUGCCCAAAGAGGUCACAAGAUGGACAUGUGGGG
rnacentral:lncRNA from 1 species